AGUUACAUGAGUGCAAAAUAAUGGAUAUGUUUUCCACAGGGGUUUCGUUUCAUUGGGAAUCUGAUCUGAAGUUUUGAAUGUCAUCGACAUUGUCGUUGGGGAACUGCUUAGCAUGUGAAAGGGCUGAAUGCUAGUCAUUGUAGUCUACUAUAAUGGAAGUCAUUUUAUGAACAGCAGAAUACAAUCUCUUAGAGGUACAUAAUGCAGCAUCAAAUAAAGGAGACAAUGUACUGAAAUAUUUGGUGCUUACAUUUGUCAUGUCUUUAUUGAUACUCUAAUAUUUCACAUGGUGUGCAGAUUUGAUUGUGCCUGGUGAUGACAAUGGAGGAGCUUUAACCACUGUGAGAAGACCGCUUCAUACCUUCAUGUUAUUUGUUCUUUAGCUAUUCACCACAGGUAUGCAAUCUUUGGGAAAUUACUGCAGAAAAAGGAGUGCUAUUCAAAUGAACGGAAAAGUUUAAUUGGCUUCCUUGUUCCCUGAAACUAUGAAAUAUGAUUCAUAAUUCAAAAGCAGUAUUACAGAUUUGAGGAAUCAGCAAUUGACAAGCCAGUGGUAUUAAGAAAUAAGCUUCUGAUCUCUGUGUGUGUGGUGAUAUAUAGAAAAGGGUGAAUGAUUGUUCAGGCUCCCAAUCACAGAGUUAGUAUCUAAUCUACUAUGUGAUAUUCUUAUGAAUGAAACAUAAAGCAGGAGGAACUAGUCCGUCAUUUCUGGAGAUAAUUCUCUGUGGGAAUAUCCUGUGCCUAUAAAUAACCAUGUUUACGACACCACCCUAUGAGGGCAGGGUGAGAGUUUUUAGGCAACAUUUAUGUCCCAUGAUUCCAGUUGCGUUCCAGACUGCUAUCUAUUGACGAGAAAGGAAUUCGAUACGUUAAUCCCUCUUAGAUUCUGGGUAGAACCACCGACCCAGGAAUUUAUACCUUGGUUGAGGGGAGACUUGGCAAUGUGGUUGAGGCCAUAAGAUUUUAGGAAUGUUUGAAUGAAGGCAGAAGAGGCAAUUUCAUUUCCUGUGUGGAGGAAAGGCCACGUGGAGUUUUAUUUUCCAAAAUUAUUGUGUAGCAAGUUUAAACAAAUAUCAUACAGAGUCGUUGUUCUGAUGUCUGACCAAGUGUUCUGUACUGAUGAAAGAUUAGUUACCUGUGCAGUCAUGUAAAAUAGCAGUCAGAUUUUGAAAGGGAUUUGAAAUCUAUACUUUAUAAAGGUGUGUAUUGAUUUCGUGCAAUAUCAAAAUCGUUGAACAAAACUCGACAAGCUAUGAAACCAUGGAUUUAAUGAAAAGCAACCUUUUUACAAAUUCUUGAACAAGACUUUCAAUAGCCUACAUGGUAGAAACAAGGUGUAAUCUGAAAAAUUGAUCGUGUGAAGGCAAGUAUGUGUUGUAAGCAAGAAAAAAGGAACAUUGGAUUACAGCAGGAUUUGUUGUAAUCUUUUAUGUCAACAAGCAGGUGAAAGUACACAUACUGUACAGCAGAGAAAGCUUUUCAUUAAGAAACCCUGGGAGGAAAUCAGAGUUCAUUGACACGGCUCAAUAGUCACACAGUCAUCGGCUCAUUAAGGCUCAAGUUUUCCUGAGAUACAGUAUUAAGUGUAAUUGAAAAUAUUUACCUCUUUGUGUUGUCCUUUGAUAGAUAUAGGAGCUAAAGAAGGGAAAAAAUCUGUGUUUUCAUUAUAAAAACAACGAUGCGCUUCCAGGUAGCAAGAGAAACUCGUUAGCUGUUAUCUGUACCUGGAGUGAAUGACAGUUUACGAGGAUCAAAGUAGGUGCUGAUGGUUUUACUUAGAAGAUGAACAUGUCGUGUGUAACCAUAAAUAAGGAAACAUGGCAAGCUAUACAGGGUCGCCUCGUCAGUUCUGGACCCACAUCUGUCUGAGGAACACUGAUCCAGAGGAGAUACCUUCCAUAAAUCUGCUGGAUGCACUUACUGUACGGAGGAUGCACUGCAAAAACUGAGAGGAUAUUUUGCAAAAAAAUUAUUGAUUUUUUUAGGAGGCUGAUGACAAGGUACUUAUAAAUAUAUAACAGUUGGUUUUAAAUGAUUCAGUGAUGUAUAACUCUGUUGUCAAGGAAUUCUUUUGACUUUUGAUUAUCCGCCUAUAACUGUGACUAUCUGAAUGUGAAAAGGAAGUUUUGUGAAUCAGUUCCUCCUGUUGAUUGAAAAGUACAUUCAAGGAAAAUGACCACAAUGGAGUUUCUUUAAGGAGUAAACUAGGAAGAAAGUGCUUGAGGUUGUGCACCCACUUAAUAUAGGAAAAACUGAUUUGGAAAUUUUAUGUGGGAAGAGAAAGGGUUCCUUACAGCACUGUAUUAACUUUUGUUCAACCGUUGCGCAAUCACCUGUUUUUACCUAAUUGCAUGUGAAAUAUUGAAAUAUCAGCCAUAUUGAUAGCAAAAUCUUAUUGUACACAGUGGGUUUUAGAAAAAAAGAGCAGUGUU
rnacentral:sRNA from 1 species